rnacentral:misc_RNA from 1 species
AACAACAGUAUGAAGCAAAAUCAUCAGCCUCACCAUCAACAGAGUCCUUCGCUUUCUGGGGUUAACAUUAAGGGCAGGGAGCUUGAAGACCCUGCCACUAAGGCUAACAUGAAAGCAAUGGCAGCUAGAGCACUUUGGCAUCUUGCCAAGGGAAAUUCUCCUAUUUGCCGCAUCAUAACUGAAUCAAGAGCACUCUUGUGCUUUGCAGCUCUAUUGGAGAAGGGAGCUGAAGAUGUUCAAUUCAAUUCCGCCAUGGCAUUGAUGGAGAUCACUGCAGUAGCAGAGAAAGAUGCUGAUUUGAGAAGAUCAGCAUUCAAGCCUAAUUCGCCUGCAUGCAAAGCUGUUAUUGAUCAGUUGCUGAAAAUCAUCGAAAAAGCUGAUUCUAACCUCCUUAUACCAUGCAUCAAGGCUAUAGGGAAUCUAGCAAGGACAUUUCGAGCAACAGAAACCAGAAUGAUUGCCCCAUUGGUUAAUCUUCUAGACGAGAGAGAAGAUGAGGUUUCCAGGGAGGCUUCAAUUGCUCUCACUAAGUUUGCUUGCACAGAAAACUAUCUCCACCUUGAUCA